GGUUAGCUCAUCACGCCUUGUGUGAAUUGUUCUCUUGUUAUGUUCUGGGGAGUAGCGAGUCUGGAAAUGAUAUCGGUGGGCAAGAAACGCCAAUGCCAACAGCGGUCAUCAUGCUGAUGACGACGGCGGUGACGCCAGCUAUAUUUAUCGCACGCCCACUAGGUUCCGGCCACCCUGAAGUAUUACACAUACACCAACAUUUAGUUCCGACAACAGCCCGGGAAAGGAAAACGAUUAUUAUGCCUGUUUUUCAGGGUCAGGCUGGAGCCGGUGUUAUUGUUGUUAAAUUUAGAUCGGGAACUAUAUUGGGCCCGACCUGCUGUCCACAAGCUUUCACUUCUUAAAACAGGAAGGAAGGCCCCAGCUGGGGAGUUUCAGAGCGCCAAGAAGCUUCUCCGGAGACCUCAGGGAAAUGCGUUUAGCUGGAAACCACUGGAGGUGCGUGGGAGGGACCGGAUUCAGGGAGCGUCUUCGCGUGGUGGCUGAGUUGAAAGAUUUUUCCCGACCUUCUGGAUACCCCGGUGGCUUUCUUGCUGUGUCUCCGACGCACCGGACACACUCCUGCCUCCGUGCUUCUCUUUUCUAGAAACCGUCUUCCCGUUGAGAUGUCCGCACGACCUACUUCCUUAUCGUCUUCGCUCAAAUGACCACUUGGGUCGUAAUCGGCCUUCUCCGGCUCUGUCUCCAAGAUCGCAUCCCUCCCCUGCCUGCAGCACGGUCUGCCCCCCUCUGAGUUUUCCGGGUGGCAUUCACUGGCAUUCGAAUACAUCUGGCCUACCGUACCGUUCAUCAGUUCAUCUUGCUACUUGCUCUCCCCCCACGCCCAUCCCCCGCCCGCUACUAGACCGUGAACUGCUGAGGGCAGAAAUUUGGAUGGUCAGCUUUACGCCGUGUUCCCCAGUACGCGACGCAUAGCAAGCUUACAGCAAAUGUGCGUGGGAUGAAUUCCUGAGUGAAUGCAGACCGAAGGCAUCCAGGCAAGGAAGGACGUGUCUGCUUCUCCCGUUGGUUUUGCCAUAGGUAGCUCCUAGAAAGUUCUUGGUCCCCCUCCAGUUGGAGAAGCUAAGGGCUCAGAGAGGCAGACACUCUUCUGAAGGUCACACGGCUGACGACAGCAGGCACGUAGACAGCACCCGCUACCUGCCGAGGACAGUGCUAGACCUUUCAGUGUUUCGGAGGCGUGUGUUAGUUUCCGGGGGCUGCAGUUAACAAGGGCGUGGGGCGCCCGGGGGGGCUCAGUCGGUUAAGCGUCCAACUCUCGACCUCGGCGCAGGUCGUGAUCUCACGGUCCGUGAGUUGGAGCCCCUCGUCGGGCUCUGCGCUGAAAGCACAGAGCCUGCUUGGGAGUCUGUCUCUUCCUCUCUCUGCCCCUUCCCUGCUCGCUCUCUGUCCUUCUCUCUCAAAAUAAAUUAAAAAAAAAAAAAAAACUUUGAAAAAUUUGCUAUAAACUCGUGGCGUAGAUGACAGAAAUUUAUUCUCUCACGGUUCUGGAGGUGAGAAGCCCAAGAUCGAGGUGUCUGUGGGGCCGUGUUCUCUUUGAGGGCGCUGGGGAAGAACCUUCUCCAGGCUUCUUUCUUUAGCUUCUGCUUCCGUCCUGCCCGUGUGCGUAUCCGUGUCCAAAUUUCCCCUUUCUAUAGGGAUGCCUCUCAUAUUGGACUGGGGGCCUGAUUACCCCAAUGUGACCUCAUCGUAACGAAUUAUAUCUGCAACAACCCUGUUCCCAAA